UGCGCUGGAUUACAUCAUGAUGUGAAAUCCUGACAAUAGAGCCCGAAGCAGGGGAGAAGCAGCAGAAGAAGGGUCGCACCCCACAAUCCUUCCUGCUCCCGAAAGAGAAGGCAAAUGAGCCCUCCACCUACUGCUGAUGACCAAACCUCAAGAGCAGAACCUGCUUCCAGGUCCACAGUUGGUCAAGAAAUCUUCAGAAGAACAGCUCAGCUCCCCUGAAUUCCUAGAUGCCUCGGGCCAGAGUUCCUGCUCUCCACACAGGUAGGGCCAAGGCCCUGAUUCAGCAGGAGACAUUUGCAGAAGAUCACACUUCCUCCCUCAACUGCCCACAAAGAGUUCUGGGGACCAAGGCUCUGGGCGGGGAACAAGGAGGUCAAAGCCUGAGUGAGUGAGUCACUCCCUCCCUCCACCGAACCUAAACAGUACCCAAGGUUAUUCCUGUGUCCAUUGUCCUAAGAGAGAUACCAAAGGAAUGGAGAGUCUAAGAGACUGGCAUGCCCGGCCCUGGCACCAAGGAGACUCAGCGGGAGGCGUCUAAAGUGGAGGUGCCUGGCUCACAGGCUGCACCCCUGUCACCUGUCAGCACUCUGACUUCCGCUUGCUCUUCCCUGCUGCUGAUGCUGCCUUUCCCUGGUCUCCAUUGAAGGGGCGGCUGCUCCCUCCUCACUACGGAGGGCACACUUGGCAGUGCUGUCCUGUCAUGCACGAGCACCUGGACUGUUAUUGUCUGUUCAACUGGACCAGCCUCACUCAGGGUGAAGAGGGGAGCACGGGAGAGUCGGAUCUGCCCUGCAUCCUCCAGGCCUGCUCAGAUUCUCCUAUGAUUUUCAUUCCCUUCUCUGAUAUUUCUUCUUUGCUAUUUCCAGGAGCAUCCAGAAGUACACAAAGAAUAAGAUGGACAAAGAAAUAUAAAAAUCAAGCCAACAUCUGGCACCGAAUCUUUAGUGCUUUCUAGUAUGAAAAGAGCAUGAGGUUCACGGCUAAAAGAUCCAGGACUUUAAGCUGAAAGAAUUUAGACAUGAACUGAAAAACCAGGAACAAAAAAAAAUUUUUAUUGCCCUCACACACACAUACACAGCUAGAGCCUACUUUGUUAAACCGUGAACAGGAAGUUUGAGUGUGAACUGUGAUUCUCCAGGGGUGAAGGACGGAGAGGCGGGGAAGGAAAUAAGAUAUAUUUUAUACCUGUAUCAACCCCCCACCAUCAGGAGCAUCCUCAUCACCUACUGCAAAAAUGUACUGAUUAUUUUGUUUUAAUUUUUUAAAUAGAAAGACAAACAGGUGGGAAUUUGUUGAAAAUGUGUUCUUGGGCCCACCCACAAAAUACUCUGUUUGUCAUCUUCAAGUCUGAUAUCCAACAAGUGCCCUUUGCGUUGUAUAAACUGUGGUGUAUAAAUCAUUUUUACAGACAAGACUUUAUUCACUGUGGACAAAGAACACCCCUGACGUUCCUGGUGGAGGCCCGCACAGCCUCACGGAGCCAGAGACAGGGGCAGAGAGUCAGGUGUGGUAAAUGCGGUGCCAGUGGUAAUUCUGGAGGCCAGGGGAAUACUGAAAAGGGGGCUCAGCUCCAAAUGGGGGUGUCCCAAUACAGGUUCCAAUAAGGACAGGAAUAGCUCAGGUUAUAUUUGUUUUCCUUGAGGAAGAGACCCUCAAAAUCUUUCUAGUAAAUACCAUUAUCUUUCUUGUAGUUCACAGCAAAAUGGCCAAGUUAACGCAGCUACUGAAAUUUAAAGAUAUCAUCUCGGGACUUAAAAACUCCUAUUGCAUUUCGGUGUGUGAGCCUCUGCAGUUCCCCAGAGCAGAGUAACCUCCAGGGGACAGCCAGCGCCCCUCCCCCUGCUCCACCUUGUGACCCCAAGGCAUGAAGUCUAAUCCCUGCAGAUCUGGAGGGGGUGGGCUGGGUGCGGGCAGGUCCUUCAGUAGUCCUUAGCAGCAGUGGCAACAAGCUGGGGCCAGGCAGUGGAGCCUAUUAAAUGUAUCAGAUGUCAUCUGUACCUCCUUCAUCCUUCCCACGUUGGACCUCACAGGUUGAUAAGAAGGGGAAUGCAUCCUAACCCAGAAGUAAAACUGUUGCAUGAUUAUAACCCUGACAGCCUCCCUCUAAUGAGCUUCCCUGCAGAUAGGGAGAGGGAGAGUGCUUUGAUCUCCAGGAGCAGGAGGCUGAAAGGACCACUGUUUGGAGCAGAGCCGACUGAUGGGGUCCGGUCUUGCACUAAUCAAAGUCACAAGCUACCAUCUGAGCCAUUUGUGAACCGCAGAUAAGAUUAGCUGCUCACUUGAUAGAUCAGCCACCACCAUCGAGGAGCCUGAUUGUGUCUGAAAUAUGACCAGGAAGUGUCAGCUCCCGCAGGCCAAUCCUGCCUUCAUCCUGUGUUUAAAGCCGAGAUGGGAGCGGAACAGAACAUGGCAGCGUCCUUCUCUUCUUCCUCCCAGACACAAGCAAAGAAGACAGGUGGGUAAUCUGCGUCAGACAUCAGUGCGUGUUUACUAUUUUUACAAAGAUCAUGCGCUGUAGUGACAGACGACAGACACUCUUUGGGUGGGAGAUCUCAGGUGCAGGAAUAAUCCCACUAUGCAAUGACUCCACACCUCAGUGCUCUAAAAGGCCAGUACCCAUGCUUCCUGAUAAUCAUGUUAAUGUUUUGAAACUCUAGAAUAUUAUAUGCUGUAGCAAAAGAAAGGAUGAUUGGUCACAUGGAAUUUGGAGAUGCAUUUAAGGGUUACAUUUAAAGGUACAUCAGGGACGUCAAAACCUGGUGCUAACUGACAGCUUUAAUUUCUUGGAGUUGAUUCCCAGGUUGGUAGAAUUUGAGCUCAACGAAUCAUGGCCAGGUGCCUCGAACAGCUCCUGGCCUCAGGCAGACAAAGUGAGUCCACUGUUCAAUUGACUGCCCAACUGCCCAAUCAAGAGGCCAGCUCUUUCCUAACUAAGCAAGGAUGUAUUAUUUUGCAUUUUCCAGACAAGGGGUAGAGCGAGAGCUUGUCCUUUGGAAAGGCGCCUGUGUGAUUUCAGCCGCGUGAGCCUUCUUCGUUUCUGCAGGAGAGAACACGCGUUCCCCACGCCCAGUGCAGCCAGGCUUCUCUAUUCCAGGCUCGUCCACUAUAGCUCUUAAAUUGCUAGGUUGCCCCCAUGUCUGAGCAGCUAGUAAAGCUGCCUGAAAAUGGCAAGUUAUGUUGAGAAGUACCUUAUUACAGCUCCCAAAAUACACAGGCCCAGAAUAGCCCUGUGCACUUGGGGUAAGAAAAGAUGCAAGAGACCAAGAAGAACACUUCAGGUCUCCUCCCCGGCAAAGGGGAGAGAAAGUGCCGGCUCUCCUCACAGCUCUCAAGCCCUGAUGAGUGGGAAGGGACACCUUUCACUGCGUCCUGUGCUCCCAGCUGGGCCGACAGCCCGUCCUGUCAGUGCUGAUCACCCACUGUGGAAGACGGCGACCCCAGAAGGACCUGCCGAGCUCCAGCUCUGAGAACCACAGAGCAUCAAUGGGGGAUGGAUCUUAACAGAUAAUGUUGCUGUAAGGAACAUUUAAGAAACUCUUAAUCUUGGAGUUACAGUUUCUGUUUCUGCUUCUAAGAUAAGGAAAGUAAGACCCAGAUAAGAUCGACAAAUCUUCCCAGGUACACAGACAGCACGUGUCUGCAAUGUGCAUGGAAGCACAGGCAUUCAGUGGCAGAUCUUCAGCUUUAAAGGCCUCACAGUGUGUCACUUGGAACAUUGUCCCUGCUGUUUUUAUGUUUUUGUAGCAAAAUGUCUGACUGGUCCUCUUCAAUAUCCUGGCCUUCCCAGGACACUAAAGUUCCCUCCUAGUAUCCAUCCAGCUUUCAAACCACCAAGAGCACAGCUGGGGAAACUAAAACAGGGAUCUUACUCACUUUUCCCAAACCCCUGUAAUCACUUGUGGGAACCCAGGCUUCUUAACUCCAAGUGCAGCCCCCUGAUCAUUCUGUUUUCUCUGAAGCACGAAGUUAACCGAGCCCAUACCUGAUGCUCACUGGGGAGAGGGCAGUCUGGAGUGCCAGGAGAGAGAGCCUUUCAAUAUCCAGGAAGACAAAUGCACCACGGGGAACCUAGUGCCCGUUUCCUGUCACAAAUGAAUCACGAGCUUGCUUUCUGGAACACUCCAUGACUCAGAGUUACACAUUCCCUGAGGAAUCUGGAUGACUUAGAAUUGUACCAUCUGACCUAAUUAUUUGCCCAACACAGCAAACCCUGGAGUCUGAGGAGCACGGUGCUCUACAAGGUCCUACCUGAACCUUAGCAAUGGUCUGGGAAGUCAGGACUGAAUCCAAGCACUCACAUCUCUGAGUGAAGGACUCUGUCUUCUGACCCAGAGGCUAAGAUGGGCAGAAAGCACCCUGAGACCAGACACAGAGCCCUUCUGCCUGCAGAGGAGUCAUGGGGAAAGGUUUCCUCCAUCCCAGCUGGUGACAGGGUCAGCUCGGGGAGCUGCUACCUGCAGGCUGUGGCUUUGUCAUUGCCCCCAGGCUUCUGUUGAUGAUCUCUUCUGCUUCCUCAGACAGUCUUAGCUCUUCCAUCUCCUUGCAUAUUUAUGUCAUUUCUACGAGAAGCUUCUGUGGCCAUCUCCAGCAUUCUGAUUUACAAAACACAACCGGUUCAGUUGACCCAGGGCUCACUGUGCAGGCUCCAUGCGCUGGGCUCAGGGAAUCAGGAAAACAGGCCUGGUGGGUAUCUGGGUAUCACAAGAGCUCUGAGCAUCAGAUGUAGCCAAGAGCUAAGUUUACUUGGCCGCAGUGGUGAACCUACAGCACACGAGCUAUUAGUUUUUCUUUAAAGGCAAAACAUGUUAACAUACAACUUGUUCUUUACUAAGCCAAAACCUCAGUACUCAGGUUUAAUUGCAAUGUUGAAAUUCCACAGUAAGUAAGUUGGUUAGGGGCUGGAAACGCACCUCUAAAAGUUCACCCUCACUGACCAAACAUGCAGAAAGGAGCCUAAUUCAGCACUGCCCAGACUUCACAAUAUCUAGAAAACACAGCCCUGUGCUUACAGUUCUGGAUGCCAGGAAAGCCAAAGUUAAACCCCCAGCAGAUUCCAUGUCUCCUGAGGACACUUCCUCAUCGCUGACACUUCCUUUCAGCCUUCCACAGGAGGGCAAAAGAGGCUGAGCCCUAGGGCUCUUUCAUAAAACCUUUGAUCCAAUGCAUGAAGAACCCACUCUCAUGACUUAAUCACCUCUUAAAGACUUCACCUCCUAAUACCAUUGCCUUGGGAGUUCAGUUUUAAUUUAAAAACUUUAAAGGAACAUAUACACUCAGACCAUAGCACCAAGUAACAUCUGUGUGGCUGCCACUUGAGAACGGUUACAGUUAACUGAUUUGUUUUGAGAUCAUGGUUAUACAAGAUGUUUCUAGUAGGAACACUGUGUGAAGUGGGAAUGGGAAUAUUCUAUAAUGAUGUGCAAGUCUUUCUUAAAUAAAAAUUAUUUCUAUAUAAAGAGACAACAAAA